UUGCUUGCAGGUCGGCGGUUUUUUGGUCAUUUAGAGGAAGUAAAAGUCGUAACAAGGUCUCCGUUGGUGAACCAGCGGAGGGAUCAUUAUCGAGUUAUUCAACUCCCAAACCCUAUGUGAACUUACCACUUGUUGCUUCGGCGCGCGCUUCGGCGCCGCCGAGGACACUUAAACUCUUUGUUUUUAUAAGCAUUUCUGAGUGGCCGAAAGGCAAAAAUACAAAUGAAUCAAAACUUUCAACAACGGAUCUCUUGGUUCUGGCAUCGAUGAAGAACGCAGCGAAAUGCGAUAAGUAAUGUGAAUUGCAGAAUUCAGUGAAUCAUCGAAUCUUUGAACGCACAUUGCGCCCGCCAGCAUUCUGGCGGGCAUGCCUGUUCGAGCGUCAUUUCAACCCUCGAGCCCGACUCUUUUGAGGACGGCUCGGCGUUGGGGGACGGCAGACUCCCCCCGGCAUCUCGCCGGGGACGCCGCCCCCGAAAUCUAGUGGCGGCCCUCCGAGGCGACCUCUGCGUAGUAACUUGUUCUCGCACCGGAAAGCUCAGAGCGGCCACGCCGUAAAACCCCAACUUUUUUCAGGUUGACCUCGAAUCAGGUAGGACUACCCGCUGAACUUAAGCAUAUCAAUAAGCGGAGGA
rnacentral:rRNA from 1 species